UACAGGGGGGGCAAGCGUUGUUCGGAAUUACUGGGCGUAAAGGGCUCGUAGGCGGCCAACUAAGUCCGACGUGAAGUCCCCAAGCUUAACUUGGGAACUGCGUCGGAUACUGGAUGGCUUGAAUUCGGGAGAGGGAUGCAGAAUUCCAGGUGUAGCGGUGAAAUGCGUAGAUAUCUGGAGGAAUACCGGUGGCGAAGGCGGCAUCCUGGACCGACAUUGACGCUGAGGAGCGAAAGCUAGGGGAGCAAACGGG
rnacentral:rRNA from 1 species